rnacentral:rRNA from 1 species
AUUGAACGCUGGCGGCAGGCCUAACACAUGCAAGUCGAGCGGAUGAAGGGAGCUUGCUCCUGGAUUCAGCGGCGGACGGGUGAGUAAUGCCUAGGAAUCUGCCUGGUAGUGGGGGAUAACGUCCGGAAACGGGCGCUAAUACCGCAUACGUCCUGAGGGAGAAAGUGGGGGAUCUUCGGACCUCACGCUAUCAGAUGAGCCUAUGUCGUAUUAGCUAGUUGGUGGGGUAAAGGCCUACCAAGGCGACGAUCCGUAACUGGUCUGAGAGGAUGAUCAGUCACACUGGAACUGAGACACGGUCCAGACUCCUACGGGAGGCAGCAGUGGGGAAUAUUGGACAAUGGGCGAAAGCCUGAUCCAGCAAUGCCGCGUGUGUGAAGAAGGUCUUCGGAUUGUAAAGCACUUUAAGUUGGGAGGAAGGGCAGUAAGUUAAUACCUUGCUGUUUUGACGUUACCAACAGAAUAAGCACCGGCUAACUUCGUG